UACGUAGGUGGCAAGCGUUGUCCGGAUUUAUUGGGUUUAAAGGGUGCGUAGGCGGCCCUGUAAGUCAGUGGUGAAAUACUCCAGCUUAACUGGAGGGGUGCCAUUGAUACUGCAGGGCUUGAGUUAAGUUGAAGUUGGCGGAAUUGACGGUGUAGCGGUGAAAUGCUUAGAUAUCGUCAAGAACACCGAUAGUGAAGACAGCUAACUAAACUUUUACUGACGCUGAGGCACGAAAGUGUGGGGAUCAAACAGG
rnacentral:rRNA from 1 species